AACGAACGCUGGCGGCAGGCUUAACACAUGCAAGUCGAACGGUUGUAGCAAUACAGCAGUGGCGCACGGGUGAGUAACGCGUGGAUAUCUGCCUUUUGGUUCGGAAUAACUCCGGGAAACUGGAGCUAAUACCGGAUGGUUCCUGCGGGAUAAAGAUUUAUCGCCAAAAGAUGAGUCCGCGUACGAUUAGCUAGUUGGUGAGGUAAUGGCUCACCAAGGCGACGAUCGUUAGCUGGUCUGAGAGGACGAUCAGCCACACUGGGACUGAGACACGGCCCAGACUCCUACGGGAGGCAGCAGUGGGGAAUAUUGGACAAUGGGGGCAACCCUGAUCCAGCCAUGCCGCGUGAGUGAUGAAGGCCUCGGGUUGUAAAGCUCUUUUGGCGGGACGAUGAUGACGGUACCCGCAGAAUAAGCCCCGGCUAACUUCGUGCCAGCAGCCGCGGUAAU
rnacentral:rRNA from 1 species